rnacentral:hammerhead_ribozyme from 1 species
AUCCAGCUGACGAGUCCAAAAUAAGGCUAAACGCGCGUACUGGAU